GAUGAACGCUGGCGGCGUGCCUAAUACAUGCAAGUCGAACGAAACUUCUUUAUCACCGAGUGCUUGCACUCACCGAUAAAGAGUUGUGUGGCGAACGGGUGAGUAACACGUGGGCAACCUGCCCAAAAGAGGGGGAUAACACUUGGAAACAGGUGCUAAUACCGCAUAACCAUAGUUACCGCAUGGUAACUAUGUAAAAGGUGGCUAUACUACCGCUUUUGGAUGGGCCCGCGGCGCAUUAGCUAGUUGGUAGGGUAAAGGCUUACCAAGGCAAUGAUGCGUAGCCGAAUUGAGAGGUUGAGCGGCCACAUUGGGGCUGAGACACGGCCCAAACUCCUACGGGAGGCAGCAGUAGGGAAUCUUCCACAAUGGGCGAAAGCCUGAUGGAGCAACGCCGCGUGGGUGAAGAAGGUCUUCGGAUCGUAAAACCCUGUUGUUAGAGAAGAAAGUGCGUGAGAGUAACUGUUCACGUUUCGACGGUAUCUAACCAGAAAGCCACGGCUAACUACGUG
rnacentral:rRNA from 1 species